rnacentral:rRNA from 1 species
AUUGAACGCUGGCGGCAGGCCUAACACAUGCAAGUCGAACGAGUGGCGGACGGGCGAGCAAUGUCUGGGAAACUGCCUGAUGGAGGGGGAUAACUACGGGAAACGGUAGCUACUACCGCAUACCAUCAGAUGUGCCCAGAUGGGUUUAGCUAGUUGUUGGGGUAACGGCUCACCAAGGCGACGAUCCUUAGCUGGGCUGGGAGGAUGACCAGCCACACGGGGACUGAGACACGGUCCAGACUACUACGGGAGGCAGCAGUGGGGAAUAUUGGACAAUGGGCGCAAGCCUGAUGCAGCCAUGCCGCGUGUAUGAAGAAGGCCUUCGGGUUGUAAAGUACUUUCAGCAGGGAAGCGUUACCCGCAGAAGAAGCACCGGCUAACUCCGUGCCAGCAGCCGCGGUAAUUC